AACGAACGCUGGCGGCGUGCCUAAUACAUGCAAGUCGAACGAGAAUGUGGGGCAACCCACUAGUAAAGUGGCAGACGGGUGAGUAAUGCAUAGGUAACCUACCCUCAAGAUGGGGAUAACCUUCCGAAAGGAGGGCUAAGACCGAAUGAGACCACAGUUACUCUGGUAAUAGGGGUUAAAGGAUGGCCUCUACUUGUAAGCUAUCGCUUGGGGAUGGGCUUAUGUACCAUCAGCUUGUUGGUGAGGUAACGGCUCACCAAGGCUUUGACGGUUAGCUGAUCUGAGAGGUUGAUCAGCCACACUGGAACUGAGACACGGUCCAGACUCCUACGGGAGGCAGCAGUAGGGAAUAUUGCGCAAUGGAGGAAACUCUGACGCAGCGACGCCGCGUGGGUGAUGAAGGCCUUCGGGUCGUAAAGCCCUGUCGGAAGGGAAGAAAAACGAAAUGGCUAAUAUCCAUAUCGCUUGACGGUACCUUUAGAGGAAGCACCGGCUAACUACGUGCCAGCAGCCGCGGUAACAC
rnacentral:rRNA from 1 species